GAGCUCACUUUGGCAGCACAUAUACUAAAACUGGAAUGAUGGAAUGACACAGAGAUUAGCAUGGUCCCUGCACAAACAUGACGCACAAAUUCAUGAAAUGUUUCUUAUUUUU